rnacentral:rRNA from 1 species
AAUGAACGCUGGCGGCGUGCCUAACACAUGCAAGUCGGAUGUGCCGCAAGGUGCAUGGCAGACGGGUGAGUAACGCGUGGGGAACCUACCUCUUCGUGGGGAAUAACGAUCCGAAAGGAUUGGUAAUACCGCAUGAGACCGACGGCUGGGAUGCUGUCGGUGAAAGCUGGGGACCGGAAACGGCCUGGCGCGAGGAGAGGGUCCUGCGUCUGAUUAGCUAGUUGGUGGGGUAACGCCUACCAAGGCAUCGAUCAGUAGCCGGCCUGAGAGGGUGAUCGGCCACACUGGAACUGAGACACGGUCCAGACUCCUACGGGAGGCAGCAGUGGGGAAUUUUGCGCAAUGGACGAAAGUCUGACGCAGCAACGCCGCGUGGGUGAUGAAGGCCUUCGGGUCGUAAAACUCUGUCGGGAGGGACGAAGGGGCGAACCCUGACGGUACCUCGCAAGAAAGCACCGGCUAACUCUGUGCCAGCAGCCGCGGUAAU